rnacentral:rRNA from 1 species
AACGAACGCUGGCGGCAUGCCUAACACAUGCAAGUCGAACGAGACCUUCGGGUCUAGUGGCGCACGGGUGCGUAACGCGUGGGAACCUGCCUUUAGGUUCGGAAUAACUCAGAGAAAUUUGAGCUAAUACCGGAUGAUGUCUUCGGACCAAAGAUUUAUCGCCUUUAGAUGGGCCCGCGUAAGAUUAGCUAGUUGGUGGGUAAAGGCCUACCAAGGCGACGAUCUUUAGCUGGUCUGAGAGGAUGAUCAGCCACACUGGGACUGAGACACGGCCCAGACUCCUACGGGAGCAGCAGUGGGGAAUAUUGGACAAUGGGCGAAAGCCUGAUCCAGCAAUGCCGCGUGAGUGA